rnacentral:rRNA from 1 species
UGUAAGUCGAACGAGGUCUCGCCUUCGGGCGAAUCGCCUAGUGGCAGACGGCUGAGUAACACGUGGGUAACCUGCCCUCGAGUCUGGGAUAACUGCAAGAAAUCGCAGCUAAUACCGGAUACACUCCUUCGGCGAGAGUCGGGGGAGGAAAGAUUUAUCGCUCUUGGAUGGGCCUGCGUCCUAUCAGGUAGUUGGUGUGGUAACGGCACACCAAGCCAAAAACGGGUAGCUGGUGUGAGAGCAUGACCAGCCAGAGGGGGACUGAGACACGGCCCCCACUCCUCCGGGAGGCAGCAGCAAGGAAUCGUGCACAAUGGGCGAAAGCCUGAUGCCGCGACGCCGCGUGAGGGAUGACGGCUUUCGAGUUGUAAACCUCUUUUCUCAGGGAAGAGUAAGGACGUUACCUGAGGAAUAAGCCACGGCUAACUACGUGCCAGCAGCAGCGGUAACACGUAGGUGGCAAGCGUUGUCCGGAAUUACUGGGCGUAAAGGGUCCGUAGGCGGUCGGAUAAGUCUCCUGUGAAAUCUCCACGCUCAACGUGGAACAGUCGGGAGAUACUGUCGGACUAGAGACUGUCAGAGGCAGGUGGAAUUCCCGGAGUAGUGGUGAAAUACGUAGAUAUCGGGAGGAACACCAGUGGCGAAAGCGGCCUGCUGGGGCAGUUCUGACGCUGAGGGACUAAAGCGUGGGGAGCGAACCGGAUUAGAUACCCGGGUAGUCCACG